AUUUAGCUUGCUAAAUAGAUAGCGGCGAACGGGUGAGUAAUACCUAGGAAUCUGCCUGAUAGUGGGGGACAACGUGUGGAAACGCACGCUAAUACCGCAUACGUCCUACGGGAGAAAGGGGGCUUUUCGGAGCUCUCGCUAACAGAUGAGCCUAGGUCAGAUUAGCUAGUUGGUAGGGUAAAGGCCUACCAAGGCGACGAUCUGUAGCGGGUCUGAGAGGAUGAUCCGCCACACUGGAACUGAGACACGGUCCAGACUCCUACGGGAGGCAGCAGUGGGGAAUAUUGGACAAUGGGCGAAAGCCUGAUCCAGCCAUGCCGCGUGUGUGAAGAAGGCCUUUUGGUUGUAAAGCACUUUAAGCGGGGAGGAGGGCACCACGGUUAAUACCCGUGAAUGUCGGACGUUACCCGCAGAAUAAGCACCGGCUAACUCUGUGCCAGCAGCCGCGGUAAUACAGAGGGUGCGAGCGUUAAUCGGAAUUACUGGGCGUAAAGCGCGCGUAGGCGGCUUGUUAAGUCGGAUGUG
rnacentral:rRNA from 1 species